CAGUCGCCGCGGUAAUACGAAGGGGGCUAGCGUUGUUCGGAAUUACUGGGCGUAAAGCGCACGUAGGCGGACAUUUAAGUCAGGGGUGAAAUCCCGGGGCUCAACCCCGGAACUGCCUUUGAUACUGGGUGUCUAGAGUAUGGAAGAGGUGAGUGGAAUUCCGAGUGUAGAGGUGAAAUUCGUAGAUAUUCGGAGGAACACCAGUGGCGAAGGCGGCUCACUGGUCCAUUACUGACGCUGAGGUGCGAAAGCGUGGGGAGCAAACAGGAUUAGAUACCCCGUAGUCCCUGUCUCUUAUACA
rnacentral:rRNA from 1 species